rnacentral:tRNA from 1 species
GGGGGCGUAGCUCAGAUGGUAGAGCGCUCGCUUAGCAUGCGAGAAGUACGGGGAUCGAUAAACCGCGCCUCCA